rnacentral:rRNA from 1 species
AACGAACGCUGGCGGCAUGCCUAACACAUGCAAGUCGAACGAGACCUUCGGGUCUAGUGGCGCACGGGUGCGUAACGCGUGGGAACCUGCCCUAGGUUCGGAAUAACUCCCCGAAAGGGGUGCUAAUACCGGAUAAUGUCUUCGGACCAAAGAUUUAUCGCCUUUGGAUGGGCCCGCGUUGGAUUAGCUAGUUGGUAGGGUAAAAGCCUACCAAGGCGACGAUCCAUAGCUGGUUUGAGAGGAUGAUCAGCCACACUGGGACUGAGACACGGCCCAGACUCCUACGGGAGGCAGCAGUGGGGAAUAUUGGACAAUGGGCGAAAGCCUGAUCCAGCAAUGCCGCGUGAGUGAUGAAGGCCUUAGGGUUGUAAAGCUCUUUUACCCGGGAUGAUAAUGACAGUACCGGGAGAAUAAGCUCCGGCUAACUCCGUG